GACAGAGGGUGCAAACGUUGUUCGGAAUUACUGGGCGUAAAGCGCGUGUAGGCGGCCCUGCAAGUCGGGUGUGAAAUCCCACGGCUCAACCGUGGAAGUGCACUCGAAAACUGCAGGGCUAGAGUCCUGGAGAGGAAGGUGGAAUGCUUGGUGUAGAGGUGAAAUUCGUAGAUAUCAAAGCGGAACACCGGUGGCGAAGGCG
rnacentral:rRNA from 1 species